rnacentral:rRNA from 1 species
CCUACGGGAGGCAGCAGUAGGGAAUCUUGCUCAAUGGGGGAAACCCUGAAGCAGCAACGCCGCGUGGAGGAUGAAGGUUUUCGGAUUGUAAACUCCUUUUGUUAGAGACGAUAAUGACGGUAUCUAACGAAUAAGCACCGGCUAACUCCGUGCCAGCAGCCGCGGUCAUACGGAGGGUGCAAGCGUUACUCGGAAUCACUGGGCGUAAAGAGCGCGUAGGCGGGUUAGCAAGUCAGAUGUGAAAUCCUAUGGCUUAACCAUAGAACUGCAUUUGAAACUGUUAUUCUAGAGUAUGGGAGAGGUAGGUGGAAUUCUUGGGGUAGGGGUAGAAUCCGUAGAGAUCAAGAGGAAUACUCAUUGCGAAGGCAGCGGACCGGCGCCAGACUGACGCUGAGGCACGAAAGCGUGGGGAUCGAACAGGAUUAGAUACCCUUGUAGUC